rnacentral:rRNA from 1 species
UGCUUAACACAUGCAAGUCGAGGGGCAGCGCGGGGCGGCAACGUCCUGGCGGCGACCGGCGGAAGGGUGCGUAACGCGUGAGCGACAUGCCCGUUGCCCGGGGACAACCGGUGGAAACGCCGACUAAUCCCCGAUGGGACGGAGGCCCUCAUGGGUCUCUGUUGAAAGUUACGGCGGCGACGGAUUGGCUCGCGUCCGAUUAGCUAGUUGGCGGGGUAACGGCCCACCAAGGCUACGAUCGGUAGGGGUUCUGAGAGGAAGGUCCCCACAAUGGAACUGAGACACGGUCCAUACUCC